rnacentral:rRNA from 1 species
UACGUAGGGUGCAAGCGUUGUCCGGAAUUAUUGGGCGUAAAGAGCGUGUAGGCGGCCCGAUUAGUCCGCUGUGAAAAGUCCAGGGCUCAACCCUGGAAUGCCGGUGGAUACUGUCGGGCUAGAGUCCGGAAGGGGCGAGUGGAAUUCCUGGUGUAGCGGUGAAAUGCGCAGAUAUCAGGAGGAACACCGAUGGCGAAGGCAGCUCGCUGGGACGGUACUGACGCUGAGACGCGAAAGCGUGGGGAGCGAACAGG